GAUGAACGCUGGCGGCGUGCCUAAUACAUGCAAGUCGAGCGAACAGACGAGGAGCUUGCUCCUCUGACGUUAGCGGCGGACGGGUGAGUAACACGUGGAUAACCUACCUAUCAGACUGGGAUAACUUCGGGAAACCGGAGCUAAUACCGGAUAAUAUAUUGAACCGCAUGGUUCAAUAGUGAAAGACGGUUUUGCUGUCACUUAUAGAUGGAUCCGCGCCGCAUUAGCUAGUUGGUAAGGUAACGGCUUACCAAGGCAACGAUGCGUAGCCGACCUGAGAGGGUGAUCGGCCACACUGGAACUGAGACACGGUCCAGACUCCUACGGGAGGCAGCAGUAGGGAAUCUUCCGCAAUGGGCGAAAGCUUGACGGAGCAACGCCGCGUGAGUGAUAAAGGUCUUCGGAUCGUGAAACUCUGUUAUUAGGGAAGAACAAAUGUGUAAGUAACUAUGCACGUCUUGACGGUACCUAAUCAGAAAGCCACGGCUAACUACGUG
rnacentral:rRNA from 1 species